UGUUUGCACUUAGCGGGAUGGGAAAGAACAUUCGACUAAGGUUCGACUCGAGCGCCAGCGAGAGACCGUUGCCACAGGCAACGGCCCGAAGGGCGAGGAGAGAUAGCGACGAGUUAUCCUUCCCCCACCACCA
rnacentral:sRNA from 1 species